rnacentral:rRNA from 1 species
ACGGGUGAGUAACACGUGGGCAACCUGCCUAUAAGACUGGGAUAACUUCGGGAAACCGGAGCUAAUACCGGAUAAUGCUUUUGAACACAUGUUUGAAAGCUGAAAGAUGGUUUCGGCUAUCACUUAUAGAUGGGCCCGCGGCGCAUUAGCUAGUUGGUGAGGUAACGGCUCACCAAGGCGACGAUGCGUAGCCGACCUGAGAGGGUGAUCGGCCACACUGGGACUGAGACACGGCCCAGACUCCUACGGGAGGCAGCAGUAGGGAAUCUUCCGCAAUGGACGAAAGUCUGACGGAGCAACGCCGCGUGAGUGAUGAAGGUUUUCGGAUCGUAAAACUCUGUUGUUAGGGAAGAACAAGUACCGGAGUAACUGCCGGUACCUUGACGGUACCUAACCAGAAAGCCACGGCUAACUACGUGCCAGCAGCCGCGGUAAUACGUAGGUGGCAAGCGUUGUCCGGAAUUAUUGGGCGUAAAGCGCGCGCAGGCGGUUCCUUAAGUCUGAUGUGAAAGCCCACGGCUCAACCGUGGAGGGUCAUUGGAAACUGGGGAACUUGAGUGCAGAAGAGAAGAGCGGAAUU